GUUGGGUGCAGUGGUGCACACUUGUAAUCCCAGCGGCCAAGGAGGCUGAGGCAGGAGGAUCGCAAGUGAAAACCAGCCUCAGCCAAAGCGAGGUGUUUAGCAACUCAGUGAGACCCUGUCUCUA
rnacentral:sRNA from 1 species